UAAAGACCAUCCUCUGGUGGAAUCUCGAUGUUUGGCAGCACUAGAAAACUGACGUAUCCUAUCCUUACUAAUACUCAGGGAAUAUAGCCAAAGUGAGGCAGCGCAACUCCUUUGUUGAAUUCACAGUUUUUAAUGUGAAUUGAGCCAGCUUCACACGGUGGUCUGCGACGCCAACAGAAGAAAAGAAAACAGUGUCAGCAGUUUUGUAGACAGGCGGAGACCGGAAGUGCAGUGAAGGCAUCCCAGGAGCUACAAAACCAGAACAGAGCGGUGGGUGGCAGGCAUAGUCUUGGCAGCACCAAAUGUGAAGAAGACAAGAGAGCCUUUGUGUUCCAGGUAUGAUGAGGGUAUAUGUCCAUAUGGGAGUAAGCCGAUCUGCGGCACGGAUGGAUAUACCUAUGGAAAUGAAUGUCAGCUCUGCCAGGAGAAUCGGGAGAGGACAAAUAAGGUCCAGAUCAAAGAUGAAGGUCCCUGUCCGCCAUCUGCCCAGCAGCAGAGAAGGAUGAAGAUGAAGCUGUGACCAUUGAUGGCACCAUUUUGACUGCAGGGGAGGAUGCCAAGUACGGUCCAUACCCGCAGUGAGGCGACCUCAUGUAGCUGCAUGAACCAUGCUGACUGAUUAAGUAUGGCGCGUCCACGGACAAGUGUGGAUUUCCAUUCAAUGUAGAGAAAAUAUC